rnacentral:rRNA from 1 species
GACGAACGCUGGCGGCGUGCCUAAUACAUGCAAGUCGAACGCACUCUCGUUUAGAUUGAAGGAGCUUGCUCCUGAUUGAUAAACAUUUGAGUGAGUGGCGGACGGGUGAGUAACACGUGGGUAACCUGCCCUAAAGUGGGGGAUAACAUUUGGAAACAGAUGCUAAUACCGCAUAAAACCUAACACCGCAUGGUGUAGGGUUGAAAGAUGGUUUCGGCUAUCACUUUAGGAUGGACCCGCGGUGCAUUAGUUAGUUGGUGAGGUAAAGGCUCACCAAGACCGUGAUGCAUAGCCGACCUGAGAGGGUAAUCGGCCACACUGGGACUGAGACACGGCCCAGACUCCUGCGGGAGGCAGCAGUAGGGAAUCUUCCACAAUGGACGAAAGUCUGAUGGAGCAACGCCGCGUGAGUGAAGAAGGUUUCGGAUCGUAAAACUCUAGUUGUUGGAGAAGAAUGUAUCUGAUAGUAACUGAUCAGGUAGUGACGGUAUCCAA